rnacentral:rRNA from 1 species
CCUUGGCCCAUAUUCCUGCGGGAAGCAGCAGUGAGGAAUUUUUCACAAUGGACGAAAGUCUGAUGGAGCAAUACCACGUGAACGAUGAAGGUCUUCUGAUUGUAAAGUUCUUUUAUUUAGGAAAAAAAGCGCGGCAGGAAAUGGCCGCGCCUUGAUUGUACUAAUUGAAUAAGUGACAGCUAACUAUGUGCCAGCAGCUGCGGUAAAACAUAGGUCACGAGCAUUAUCCGGAUUUAUUGGGCGUAAAGGAAGCGUAGGCUGAAAUGUGUAUUCAUUGUUAAAAAUAUUUGCUUAACAAGUGUUCGCGGUGAAGAUUACAUUUCUAGAAUUAGUUAGAGGGUACUGGAAUUCAAUGUGUAGUGGUGGAAUACGUAGAUAUAUUGAGGAACACCAGAGGCUAAGGCGAGUGCCUGGAACAUAAUUGACGCUGAGGCUUGAAAGCGUGGGUAGCAAAUGGGAUUAGAUACCCCAGUAGUCCACGCCGUAAACGAUGGGUAUUAGUCAUUUGGAUUUAAGACUGAGUGAUGUAGCUAACGCGUUAAAUACCCCGCCUGGGUAGUAUAUAUGCAAAUAUGAAACUCAAAGAAAUUGACGGGGACCUGAACAAGUGGUGGAGCAUGUUGCUUAAUUCGAUAAUACACGCAAAACCUUACCGAGGCUUGCAAUCCUCCGCAACGCUAUAUAAAUAUAGUUGAGGUUAUCGGAGUGACAGGUGGUGCAUGGCUGUCGUCAGCUCGUGUCUUGAGAUGUUUGGUUAAGUCCCGUAACGAGCGCAACCCUUCUUAUUAGUUGCUUAGUUCUAAUAAGACUGAAUCGUAAGAUCUAGGAAGGAUGGGGCCAAGUCAAGUCAUCAUGCCCCUUAUGCCUCGGGCUGCAAACGUGCUACAAUGGUAGAUACAAUGUGUGACAAUCUAGCGAUAGUGAGUCAAUCACCUAAAGUCUAUCUCAGUCCGGAUAAAAGGCUGCAAUUCGCCUAUUUGAAGAUGGAAUCACUAGUAAUCCCGUAAGG